rnacentral:rRNA from 1 species
CCUACGGGAGGCAGCAGUGAGGAAUAUUGGUCAAUGGACGAGAGUCUGAACCAGCCAAGUAGCGUGAAGGAUGACUGCCCUAUGGGUUGUAAACUUCUUUUAUAUGGGAAUAAAACGUUCCACGUGUGGGAUUUUGUAUGUACCAUAUGAAUAAGGAUCGGCUAACUCCGUGCCAGCAGCCGCGGUAAUACGGAGGAUCCGAGCGUUAUCCGGAUUUAUUGGGUUUAAAGGGAGCGUAGGUGGAUUGUUAAGUCAGUUGUGAAAGUUUGCGGCUCAACCGUAAAAUUGCAGUUGAAACUGGCAGUCUUGAGUACAUGAGAGGUGGGCGGAAUUCGUGGUGUAGCGGUGAAAUGCUUAGAUAUCACGAAGAACUCCGAUUGCGAAGGCAGUUCACUGGACUGCAACUGACACUGAGGCUCGAAAGUGUGGGUAUCAAACAGGAUUAGAUACCCUUGUAGUC